UACGUAGGGGGCAAGCGUUGUCCGGAUUUAUUGGGCUUAAAGGGUGCGUAGGCGGUUCUGUAAGUCAGUGGUGAAAUCCGGCAGCUCAACUGUCGAUGUGCCAUUGAUACUGCAGAACUUGAGUACAGACGAGGUAGGCGGAAUUGACGGUGUAGCGGUGAAAUGCUUAGAUAUCGUCAAGAACACCGAUAGCGAAGGCAGCUUACUAGACUGUAACUGACGCUGAUGCACGAAAGUGUGGGGAGCAAACAGG
rnacentral:rRNA from 1 species